rnacentral:lncRNA from 1 species
ACUCCUGCCCCUGCCACGAGAACACACCCUUUCCAGUUUGCUGGAGAAAUAUAAGAGAAGUCCAGUGAAAGAGAGCUGAGUUUCCCCAAUGAUGCCAUCAAGAUGAACUAACUACAGUUAACCAGCCAGCUGAUAGCAGAUGCAUGAGUGAGCCCAGCUGAGAGCAGGUGAAACUGAAAUUGGCUGUAUCAUCUGAAACUUCAUCUGUGAAGUCCCUGGUGGUUUCCUAGAUGACUACACAGUUGAGUUGCCUCUGAUUGGAAAAGCAGUGUUUUGGUUUUUCAGUUUGUACAAGAGGAAGAAGACGCAUGAUAUGUGUUUGGCUCAUGUGCCUGAAUAUGGCUCCACAGGGAAGACUUGAUACAGCUGAAGCUAUUGCUUUUUAGAGACUUUUUAUUUUGAGCAGCUGCCUUAACAGCCUUCGUCUUGUUACAUCACAUGAGAUAUAUCUCUGGAAUAGGAAGAGAAAAAAGACAUGACUGAGCAAUAAUUUUUGACUAAAACUUAAAAUUACAAAACCAAAACCAGAGAUAGAUGUCCCUGAAGUUGUAUUUUUAUAGUAUGUGAGAACACAAUUUUCUUAUCCUAGUUUUAAGGCAUUCCUCUGGACCCAGGAUUUUUGUUUAGUUUCAUUCACAUAAUCAAACUCUUUUUUUUUUUUUUGCCAUAGACUAAUGCAUUUUGGUGUAAUGAUCUGAGCCCUUAUCCAGAAGGCAUCUAAGACUCAUGUACAAAAAUAGAUUUCAGGGCUAAACAUUCUAAAAGACAAUUGAGUGCUUCUUUUUUCUCCGGCCCCUAGAUGUAAAUGAAUAACCUCUGUUCACUAACUCUUAAUGUAAUAUAAGGGAUAAAUUAUGCUUGUUUAUUUAAUUGUGCUUAACCAGAGUACUAGGUUGGAGUCAAACCACAGAUAUAUUUGUGAGAUGUGACAAAAUGUAGCUUUUAGCCCGUAAUACCCAAGUCAUCUGGGAACAUAACUGAUGACAGUGUCAACACCUUUCAGGAAUUCUGGAGGUGCCUUUGAGUUUAGAAAUUCGUAGGUUCUCUAGAAGCAACAGUAGCAUACUAAAUUAACACAUAACAUUUCAAGCUACAUUUACAUAAUUGCAGUGGUUAUGAUUAAUACAAAUUAUAUUAACUGCCUGUUUUACUCCUUAUAGCUGAUUGGCUGAAUUUACCAGUGGGUUUGGUAUGUUCAACAAAUGAUCCAAAUUACCUUUUCAUUUCAGUUAAGAAACUAAUCAAAGCAAAUACACUUUGAUUUGUUGAGAGGCAGAGAUUCUCCCUAAGUGGCAAUGUCCUUGGCCUUCUAAGCUAAAACCUAAAUGGAACUAUAAUAUAUAUUUUGAUGCUUUAUCUCACUUGAGUUUUUUAUUCUUUAACUGAAGGGCAGCCAUGGACCAUAAAUACAUAGAAGAUAAAAAUAUAUUGAGCUUAGGAGUUUGGUCUGUUCAAUGGAUGAGAACUUUAUAUUUUCCCUUAUAAACACAAUUUUCAAAGAAUAGCCUGUAAUAGUCGUGAAAAUGGAAACCAAUACUGGGGAAAUGUGGACUGCAACUCUGAAAAGGUAUCAAAAUGCCCGAUAGUUCAACACAAGGGCUAAGCAAUAUUUCAGGGAUGUGGCCUGUCUUUGGUGGCUCGGUCACUCUAGUGAGAUGAAUUUGGAAAAGGAUAGGCAUACAGAAUCCCCCCUCUGGCAGGGUUUGCCUUUGGGGU